ensembl:lncRNA
CUAUAACGUGUUAGUAGUUAGUGUGGAGAAGAAAAGCCGGAGCGGGGAUGAAUGUAAAAAGCAUAUGGUCCGAAUCACAUUUAGGAGGAGAGGCCUGCCGCUUAAUAUAACUAAGUCCCGGCGGCUUAUAUACUUACGGGAAAAAUCAUCAAAGAAAUUGGAAAGGGAGCAGUGAGAGUUACAAAAAGCCCUUUUAAAGCAGGAAAACGAACUCCCUCUACCCACUCAAGAAUUUUUCAGCUCUCACCCUGUCCAUGCCUCUCAGCAUCACUCAUUGGCGAGCUUCACAUUGAAAGGGGGGAACAAAUGUCCAGUGAGGCAUUUGUUUCUAGAGGGGAAACCAGCAAUCCAUUUCUUGAGGUAACAAUGAUGCCCCGGUCUGCCACAUUUGCGAGAGCCUCCUAUACACCCCCAUGGAUCCCCGAAGUCACCCUCCGGGGCUCAAGACAGAGGACAGAGACCAUGCGACCAACGAGUGAUUGAACUUGCGCCUGACCGGCGGGGGACGCGGCUAAGCAGAAAGAAGAUCCUGGAGUCUCGUCCCACACCAUUGUGGCAUCAGGCUGCCUGAGGAUCUCGGCGGCCGAAGCUUUUCGGAGCAAACGGGACCUAAAACGGCUUGCAACCCCGCCAGCCCCGUACAGACGCGGCUGCCUGGUCCUUCGUAUUCUAGAACUCUGGAAACCAGCAACCGUUCACGCCAAGGUCGCGCCUGCCCCCACCAUCUAAGGCGGGUGUAGGGGUGUCGCUCCCGCACUGCAGCGUCUGAGGCGCGGCGACAUCCGCCGAGCGCUCCCCCUGGGCCAGGGCCGCGAGGCCCGAAGGCGCCCGGGGCUCCUGGGUCGAGGCGCACGCACCCCGCCGGCACCAGGAGGGCGUGUGGGGACCCGGGGCGGUGAUCAGAUCCCUACACCGUUUUAGAAGAGUGUCGCCUCGGGAGCCUGACGACCCCAUUUGCUUUCUGGGCCAAAGGAAAAGGAAAGAUGUACCCUCCGAGAUGAAAUGAGAGCAGCCCCGAACUUUAACAUUUUAAGACAGUCUUUUCUCUGCGACUCCAGAAACCAAAAAGAGUCGGGAAAAUAAUUUUAAGUACGUUAGCGAAAACUUCAAGAAACAAGAGUUUCUUUUCCCCGGAGUAUUUGCUUUCGGGGCGCUAGUGCAAUGCCCCAGGACAAGCCCUCUUUCCAGAACUCUCUGGCGACUCCUCGGCAGUCUCAGAAUAAAGCUCUGCGGGGUGAGGCGGAGAGAGGUGAGGACUUCAGCGCUGAAGUCCCUUCUCGAUUCGAGCGGCACGACAAUAAAUAGUGGGAAACGGCCGGCGCUGCCCGCCUGUCAGGGAAAGCUGGGUACAAACGCCACGAACCGAGACCAGACCGUCAGAACAACAACGCUGCAAGGCCGAAGCCCCGUGCGGGAACCGAAAGGCACCCCACCCCAAGACUCUAGGCCCAGACUCGGCUCACCUAGCCGGCACCAAAGCCUCCAGGGCGGGGAGACUUCCGGAGCACGCGGGCCCCACCCACCUAACGCCCCGCCCACUCUCCCAGAACCCUCUUGCACCGUCUGGGCCGCAGCUUAGAGCUACUGAAAAGUUUGCAGGCCUUUGGCCAGGGGUAGGGGAAGGCACUUAACGAAUACUUGACUGAGUGAAGGCCUCGCUUUUCCCUGGGGGC